AGGGAAUAUUGCGCAAUGGGGGAAACCCUGACGCAGCAACGCCACGUGAGUGAGGAAGGCCUUCGGGUUGUAAAGCUCUGUCCUAAGGGAAAAAUGGCAGGUGAUCUAAUAGGUCAUCUGAUUGAUGGUACCUUAGAAGAAAGCACCGGCUAACUUCGUGCCAGCAGCCGCGGUAAUACGAAGGGUGCAAGCGUUGUUCGGAUUUAUUGGGCGUAAAGCGCGCGCAGGCGGAAGAGCAAGUCAGAUGUGAAAUCUCGGGGCUUAACCCCGAACGUGCGUCUGAAACUACUUUUCUGGAGUAGCGAAGGGGGAAGGGGAAUUUCACAUGUAGGGGUAAAAUCCGUAGAGAUGUGAAGGAACACCAGAGGCGAAGGCGCCUUCCUGGUCGCUUACUGACGCUGAGGCGCGAAAGCGUGGGGAUCAAAC
rnacentral:rRNA from 1 species